AGUUCCUCGCCCCGGAGCUAUUCGGGGUGGUGGAAGAGUCAUUUUCCAACACCGACAUGUAUAUGGCUUGAGUAAAACAUUUACAUGUUGCCACACCUAACAUAAGUAUGAUAUACAAAUGAGAAUAUACCUUGCUCUUCUAUGCUAAAUCCACUUUCUUCCUAUUGGUGACGUUAUCAUCAGAAAAUAGUCUCUGACUUUGGUCCUCCCACUCACACACAUACAAACUCAAAUUCUUUAAUUCUCUCUCCAUUGGCAAGUCAUGGAGCUCCUAUGGGAGCUUGCCUUCACCAUAGCUCUUUCUCUUUUACUUCCAUUGGUUUUCCUCAAACUCCUUUCCGUGACCCCAAACUUCGAAGCAAAUGAGAAAGUGGCUGUUAUUCGGCGUGAUCAUGAUCAUCGAGUUGAAUCUGAUUCCAAUAGUUGGGAAACGGAUAAAGUUGUUCAAAUUGGUGGGAAAAUUGAUGAAUUCAGAGACAAACCUAUAGUGGGAAAAUUAGUAGUCCCGGAAAUUGUGGAUGUGAGUUGUGGAUCGCCCAAGAUACACAAUUCAGAAAAGAUUGAUGGGGACAGACUUCACAACGAAAUUGAACUCGAGGAUUUGGCAGAGGAUCCUGUUGUGGAUGAGGGUAAUGAAGGGGUUGUUAAUAUUAACAAAGUUGAGGUAGAAUUGAUGGAAUGUGAUUCUAGAGAGAACAAAGUUGAAGAGGUUGAGAUCUCGCAGUGCGAAAGAUAUUAUAAUGAGAUUGAAGAAUCUAGUAUGAACGAGGAAAUGGGUGAAAACAAGGGCUCGGUGGUGGAUGAGGAUGAUUGGGAAGGAAUAGAAAGAACUGAAUUGGAGAGGCGCUUUGGUGCUGCAGUUGUAUUUGUCGGUUCCAAGAGCAAUGCUAAUCUUAGUAAUGAUGUGAAGAUGAAGCUUCAUGGUUAUCACCGAAUUGCUACUCAGGGUCCUUGCCAUGAACCUCAGCCAAUGGCUCUGAAGUUCUCUGCUCGAGCAAAGUGGAUUGCAUGGCGACAGCUUGGGAUUAUGAGUCCAGAGGAAGCUAUGGAGCAAUAUAUCAGCCUUCUAUCAGAAAACAUUCCUGAUUGGAUUGUAGAAAAUCCUUAUGAUAAUGCUAAACCGGCUUCUGCAAAACUAACCUUAUGAUUUGAAGGCAUAGCUAUUAGCUACCAUGGCAAAGAAGCUGAAAAUUAUAAGGAAAGCAAAACAAAAUUCCUAACAGUAAAACAGAAUUUGCUGAUUGCAAUGCAAAGGGAAUAUUCCUAAGUGGUUGCAACUAACUCCUUCAAAGCAGCCAAGUAACAGCUAGACAGGAUCUUCCAGUCGAGCUGGUCAUUUAGUGAUCCUUUUGGGCUAUUGUGGUCAGUAAGGAUGGUGAACUGUGGCCAAGUAAGUAUUGACCCCACUUUUGAACGGUUGUGGUAAUGGCGUGCAAUUCUCAGACAUACGUGGAUGUGUUUUGCAUACGAGGGGCAAAUGGCUUACUAUAAAAAGUAAUGGGAUGUCCGUGUUGCAUCAGUGCAAGCCCGAAAGCAUCUGUUUCUAACACAAGAGGCAAAGAAAAAUUUGGGAGAACCAGGACUAGUGCCUUUGGUCAUGGCGCGUUUGAGAUUAUCAAAUGCAAGUUGAGCCUCAGGUGUACAGUUGCACAAGAGAGAAUUGAGGGGAGAAGUAAUUGAAGCAUACCCGUUGAUGAAUUUGCGAUAAAAGUCUGUGAGACCAAGGAAUCCACAUAAAUCCUUUUGAUUGGAAGGAAUAGGCCAGUCUAACAUAACCUUGAUCUGGGAUUGCUCAAGUUCAACUCCUUUGCCAUGAUAACGUGACCUAAGUAUACUCCAACUGAUGUUGCGCAAAUAAGCACUUAGAAUGCUUGAGGUAAAAUUUCCAUUGCCAUAAAGUUUGGAAAAUAAGCUCUAAAUGGUGAAGGUGUGACGACAAUGUUUCACUAUAGAUGAGAAUCACGUCGAAGAACACAACAACGAAUUUGUGCAAAAAUGGUUGGAGAAGUGUACUCAUUGUUGCCUGGAAGGUCGAAGGUGCAUUGCAGAGGCCAAACGACAUGACCCGAUAUUCGUAAUGGCCUUGAUGAGUUCGAAACGUAGUUUUCACAAUGUCAUCGUCGACCAUUAAAAUUUGAUCAGAACCUUGACAUAAAUCAAGUUUGGAGAACCACGACGCAUGGUCGAGAUCAUCCAAAAGCUCGUUGAUUGUUGGCAUUAGAAAACGAUCUUUAAUGGUAAUGAAGUUCAAUGUGCGAAAAUUGAUAACGGUUAAUUAUGAGUAUAUUUUGGGGGGUUAAAUUA